CAGUCGCCGCGGGAACACGUAGGGUGCAAGCGUUAAUCGGAAUUACUGGGCGUAAAGCGUGCGCAGGCGGUUAUAUAAGACAGAUGUGAAAUCCCCGGGCUCAACCUGGGAACUGCAUUUGUGACUGUAUAGCUAGAGUACGGCAGAGGGGGAUGGAAUUCCGCGUGUAGCAGUGAAAUGCGUAGAUAUGCGGAGGAACACCGAUGGCGAAGGCAAUCCCCUGGGCCUGUACUGACGCUCAUGCACGAAAGCGUGGGGAGCAAACAGGAUUAGAUACCCGUGUAGUCCCUGUCUCUUAUAC
rnacentral:rRNA from 1 species